GAUAGAGAGAGAGAGAGAGAGAGAGAGAGAGAGAGAGAGAGAGAGAGAAGAAGUAUGUAAUAAUUUAAUCAAUUUGAACCUACAUCAGCAAUAUCUUGUUCGGUAGCUUUAAAUGGCAAACCACGCAUGUGUAUACUAUGAAUACCGGAAUUACCACCCCAUGUAUCACCGCUGCCUCUGAAAUUUCCACCUUUCAUAUCCAAACCUCCUCUCAUUCCCAUACUUCCUCCGCGUGAAUCAAAAUUAUUACCACUUCCCCAUGGACCA